rnacentral:lncRNA from 1 species
GCAGAUCUCUGUACAGGUACAGGGAGGACAUGUGGGGCAAGAAAGUUCUCAUCCACUGGACAGAAGAAGAUUUCAAAGCACAGGGCCUGAGUCUGUGCUUAAUUGUGCUCCUGGCUUCCAUGAUGGUUUAAAAAAAGCAAACCUUUAUGGAUGAUUCCUUGGAGGAUUCACAGUCCACUCUUUAGAUGAUGUGGGUCUUACUCUCCAAUCCAAAUCAGGUAAGUCAGCUCUUAUAGGUUGAUGUAUCUGGCCUUCUUCCUUCUGUUACUUCAUAGAAUUGC